rnacentral:ncRNA from 1 species
GAGUCUUAGCGUUAGGGAUUGAAGCUGUUACCGUGUAACACUGAAAGCCCGACCCGAU